UCUCGGCUUAUCACCGGCAGUCCCCCGAGAGUCCUCAGCAGUUUGCACCCUGUUAGCAACACGGGGCGGGGGUUGCGCUCGUUGCGGGACUUAACCCAACAUCUCACGACACGAGCUGACGACAACCAUGCACCACCUGUCACUCUGUCCCCCGAAGGGGAACGUCCUAUCUCUAGGAGUGUCAGAGGAUGUCAAGACCUGGUAAGGUUCUUCGCGUUGCUUCGAAUUAAACCACAUGCUCCACCGCUUGUGCGGGCCCCCGUCAAUUCCUUUGAGUUUCAGCCUUGCGGCCGUACUCCCCAGGCGGAGUGCUUAAUGCGUUAGCUGCAGCACUAAAGGGCGGAAACCCUCUAACACUUAGCACUCAUCGUUUACGGCGUGGACUAC
rnacentral:misc_RNA from 1 species